rnacentral:rRNA from 1 species
GAUGAACGCUGGCGGCGUGCCUAACACAUGCAAGUCGAGCGAACAGACGAGGAGCUUGCGCCCCUGACGUUGGCGGCGGACGGGUGGGUAACACGUGGAUAACCUACCUAUAAGACUGGGAUAACAACGGGGAACCGGUGCCAAUACUGGAGAAUAUAUUGUACCGGAUGGAGCAAUAGUGAAAGACGGUUUUGCUGUCACUAAUAGACGGAUCCGCGCCGCAUUAGCUAGUUGGUAAGGUAACGGCUUACCAAGGCUACGAUGCGUAGCCGACCUGAGAGGGUGAUCGGCCACACUGGAACUGAGACACGGUCCAGACUCCUACGGGAGGCAGCAGUAGGGAAUCUUCCGCAAUGGGCGAAAGCCUGACGGAGCAACGCCGCGUGAGUGAUGAAGGUCUUCGGAUCGUAAAGCUCUGUUAUUAGGGAAGAACAAAUGUGGAAGUAACUAUGCCCGUCUUGACGGUACCUAAUCAGAAAGCCACGGCUAACUACGUG